AUAGAGACUCAGAGCUGCAUAUCAAUAAGCGGAGGAAAAGAAACUAACUAGGAUUCCCCUCAGUAACGGCGAGUGAAGCGGGAAGAGCUCAAAUUUGAAAUCUUCAAGGUUUUACCUUGAUGAAUUGUAGUUUAAAGAAGUGUUUUCUGCUGAAGUUUCGGUAAAAGUUCUUUGGAAUAGGACAUCAUAGAGGGUGAGAAUCCCGUAUUUGAUCCAUUACUUUCCAGCUGUGUGAUAGCACUUUCAAAGAGUCGGAUUGUUUGGGAAUGCAGUCCAGAAUGGGUGGUGAAUUUCAUCUAAAGCUAAAUAUUGGCGAGAGACCGAUAGCGAACAAGUACCGUGAGGGAAAGAUGAAAAGAACUUUGAAAAGAGAGUUAAACAGUACGUGAAAUUGUCAAAAGGGAAGCGUUUGACACCAGUGUUGUUUUUCUGAAAAUCAAUUAAAGAACUGUUUAUGCUAAGUUGUUUAGACUUUAUCAGCUAACUGUUUAGUUUUGAGCUUUUCUUUAAUGCACUUUUCAGUUAACAAGUCAACAUCAAUUUCUUUUGCUGUAAAAAAGCUUGAGGAAGGUGGCUUGAGAUUCGUCUUAAGUGUUUAUAGCCUCUUGCCUAUGCAGUCGGAGAGAUUGAGGUCUGCAGCGCAGAUCCUUCGGGGCUAAAUGCAUUUGUGCUAAGUUAUAGCAUUUUAUAGACAACUUGUUGACUAUGAUUUGUCUCGUAGCUUACUCGCUUAUGUUAUUUUACCUACGCUUAGGAUGUUGACACACGCGCGUGCUCGAGUCUAUACAUGACUCUGCGCAUAUCAAUAAGCGGAGGAAAAGAGGGCUAUUACCUACGCUUAGGAUGUUGACACACGCGCGUGCUCGACUCUAUACAUGACUCUGUGCAUAUCAAUAAGCGGAGGAAAAGUACCUACGCUUAGGAUGUUGACGCAUGAGAUAUACGC
rnacentral:rRNA from 1 species